CCAGGUUCCAAUCCAAAAAUUCCAUUUCAUAAGGAUAUAAGAGGAUGUAUUAUUUGGAAUUCAAGAUGGCAAGAAUAGAUUAUGGAAGAGAAUGAAGUUAGAAGGAAAAAAAUAAGGGUUUUGGAGUCAAGCCUUCAUUCAUUCAGUAAAUACAGGUUUGCAGUUAAGAAAGAGAUAAAAACAUGUAUGUCAGCCUGAAAAAGCUCCCAAUCUAAAGAAAGGGUGCAGAAGAGAGAAGAGGACAGCAGGGGUGUGGCUGAACUUCUUUUCAGUUCCAUUUCCCAUGAAUGGACAACAAGGUGCCUCAACUUAUCUUUGGGAACAAGCUAUGAAAUACUUCUCUAAUCAGCCUAUGGAUUAUCUACCUUUUGGUCAUUUGGCCAUUUGUGGUCUACAGAGGCCAUACCCACCUCACAGAGAAGGAAGCCUGGGCAGUGCAGUUGAAGCUGGAAGAGGAAGUUGGGCCUGAUGCAAUUUUCACCCAAGUUCAAGUGUCUCAUAAAAAAGUCAAAGAGGAAAAAAAUCGUUUCAAUCGACUAGAGGUGGA